GCGAAAGCGAGUCUGAAUAGGGCGUUUGUCAUUGUUUAUAGACCCGAACCCGGAUGAUCUAACCAUGGUCAGGAUGAAGCUUAGGUAAAAUCAAGUGGAGGUCCGAACCGACUGAUGUUGAAAAAUCAGCGGAUGAAUUGUGGUUAGGGGUGAAAUGCCAAUCGAAUCCGGAGCUAGCUGGUUCUCCCCGAAAUGUGUUUUGGCGCAGCGAUUA
rnacentral:rRNA from 1 species